UCUUUGCUCUCAGGGCCAUCUCCCUAUGCUUUUCCCCUUUCCCCUUUUCCCGGGGUGUGGGCCCGUGGGUCCCCCAUCCCCUUUGUCACGGAAUCGGACCUAACGCCCGUAAACCGUUGACAGCAGGAUUAAUAUGGGGAUAUAUGGAAAAUAUAACAGAAUGUACUGCUUAACAGAGAAAUUGGCAGAUGUGGAAAGAUAAUGGAACUUUUCCCCUUCUCUCAAAUUGUUUCACAAAAUUAAUUCAGUGCAUUUAUAAAAUUAUUGUUUCAUUUUGUUCAAAAAAUCAGUGGGAAUUAUCCAUUAAUUUUUCUCUGUGUUGUUAUUAGUGUAUAGCUGGAUACCAUGAAUAUUGAGGUGGGUGAUCACAUACAAUUAAGCACGGAAUUCCUCGGUUAAUUUUUGUUGAUUCCAGAGAGUUUGCUUCAUUUUAUACCUAUAAGAAUGCGUGCAAGUUCUUCCCGUGCUCUCAAGUCAGCAUUUUGGCUUUUGCAACGCCAUCUUCACUCCUUUUUAAGGUGUAGAUACCAGGUAACAAUAAGUUGUCCUCACUGGGGCACUGCUGACUUUGUAAAAAAAUAAAUGUAAAUUGCUGGUCUUUUAUCAAGCUAAGAAGCAAGUCUGAGUUCAUUCUAGCAUAAGAUUGACAGAGAUGAUUGUAGUCAAAUACAAUCAUCCAUAAGAAAUAGAGCUAGGCUUUAACACCAAGUUUUCUAAAAUUAGUAAAAAAAUUCCUAGCACAGUCUGCAGUCAAAGAGAAGAUAAAUAAUCUGAAGGCAUUCCAUCAUAGCAGAUCACAUUUAUUAGGCUAUUCUGUAUACGAUAGCUCUCCAGAUGGUUCCUACCAUUACAUUUAAUAGCUAACUUAAAUGUCAGAUAGAAACUUCAAAAUACGCUGAUGAAAUCACUAAAGGCAAUAUGUGGCUUGCUCAUGCACAGAAUAAUUGUUAUUCAGUUGUUGUCAAAUAAUGAAUUUUAAUGGCAAGAAAAGAAAUUUCAAUAAGCAUUACUCAAACAAUAAUUGAAGAUUUAUUAUAUCAUAAAUAGUUAUUUUGUGGGAUGGAUUAUUGCGUUAGUGAGUCUAGCAUUGAAUUAUGAAUUAUGUAAUCGUCAAAAAACUCAUUUGAUUCAUUCUUCAGAACUAUCUGAUCCAAACUUCCUGCAGGCCUCUGUAGAAGACAGAAGUUAAAUUCCUUUCUGUAAGCUAUCGAAACAGAACAAAACAAAGUUCUGAGCUAUUAAACCAACCUUUUGGUACACAUGCAUAGAUAAAAUAAUACAUUUAUUAAAGGGAAAUGUCAAUCGGUGACAUGGAAUCACAAAAUAUGUGAUUCUUUGAUUCAAAUGGAGAUAAGGCUGCCAGAAUACAAAACUACUUUAUGAGCUUAUCCAGAUUUUUCUCCUUGAUCUUCUGUGAAGUGUACUCACUGUACAUUCACUGAAGGAGUACAUAGGAAAAGAAAGGGAGGUAUGAAGAUGGUUUAAGAGAAAUGGCUUUGACCUUGACAAAAACGUACAAAAUAAGAAAAUGGAAUAAAACAUAUACAGUGUAAGUAACUAUACAUUUAUACCAUUCCAAUUUAACUAAAUCAGUGUAAAAGUAUUUUUAAAAGCCCCCCAGAUAACUUUACUCCCAGAAAUAAAUGUAAAAAUUUUUACGAAAAAAGAAUUAACUCCAUCUAUAUUUUCUUUUCUCAGUACUUGUUUGAAGUUGGCCUAACUGUUUGCCUAACAGAUAUUAUCAGCAAUGCUUAAAAUUAGAUGUAGUAUUUUGACGUCUAUUUCCACAGGCUAGAGGCCUAUACAGAAUCUUUUGAGUGCACAGAUGUCAUUUUAGUUCUUAUCAUUUCAGGCUUCUGUCAAAAUGUGUUAUUUUAUAACAAUAAUUCAUUAGAGCAGCAAUACUGAAAUUUGACUUGAUUACUAAUCCAAUACCAAAAUUUACACUGAUACAAAAAAAUAAUUAUUCUAUUUCAGUGGUAAUGCCUGCAUACAAAAUGUCAAAGCCAAAGCAUAAUUUUAUUGGUUCUCUAAAGUAUUUUCUUAACUCUCUCUUGUAGAAUAAAUCAUAUCUUACAUGACAUUAGAAAUUCAAGAUUUGUUUUUUGUUGUUUUUUUUUUUUUUAAUAUUGGUAAGUCCAUGAAGUGUUCAUGUCUAUAAAUGACUACAUGAGCAUGUUACUUUGACUCAAAAUUAAUUUCUAAGAAUUAUGAGAGAAAAAAAAUCCAUAUUAGAACUUUAAAAUCUCAUUUGAUUCUCUUCAUUUUCACAAGCAGUUUUCUUAAUUAAAAGGAUGAAACCCUUCAGUGCAGUGAAAUCUUUUGGAAAAUUGUCUUGAACUUCAGUGAAGUCAGCAUUAUCCAAAGCAAACAAUCAUAACAGAGCAUAAUUUUAAAAAUAUGUCUGAAAGGACAUAAUAAUGGAAAUAUAAUUCAUCUAUAUAUAUCGACCAUUCAAAUAGAAUCCAAACAUCCGGAUUCUCUAAACAUUGUCCAUAUAUGUCAUGAAGUAACUAAUGAGAAUGAGCAUUUUAAGAUGGACCUUCAUACCAGUACACCCAACAUGAACUUUUCUAGUUCAUCUUUUCAACUUUAUUCUGCAUUACAUGAAAUCUGUUUGCAUUCUUAUUUUGGAUAUAAGACAUGUGUUUUGCACUUAGCUAGAUGGAUAUUAAUAAUAUGAUCUCUUAAGUCCUAAAUACCUCUAAUUCUGGCUAAAUGUAAAGAAUAUGAAGAUGAUGAACAUUUAUGAAAAUUAGUCUGAUUUACAUAUCUGUCCAUGAAUUCAGAUACAAAGGAUUGUUCAGACUGAAAAUUCUUCCUGAAUCUCUAUGGGCCGAAGAUAUAAGAAGUGUACAACAAUUUUACUUGCUCAUGUAACAGUCUUCUUAGGUGAAGUAGGAGUGUUUGAAAAUUUGCUAGUAUUAAAAAGCACAUUAAAUAAGAAUGCAAGCAGAAGAUGACAUCUCUGUACAUCAUUUCUGAGACAAAAUCUGUUUUUUCCCACUUUUUCCAGUGAACCUGUAUGAUCCCUUUUUUGUUUCCAACAUUCACGUUCACAUUUAAAUUACAAAAUAAAAAUUAAAAGAUGUAUAAUCUUCCUACUUGCUUUUCCAGUAUCAAACUGAUUAUGUUGCUUUUCCACCUACUUAAGCUCCUGCAUGAAACACAAGUUCUUUCAAUAAAUGUAAGACCAUUUAUUUACUCUACAUCUCUUCUACACUUCCUUAGUAAAUGAAUAAUUCAAUAUCGUCAUAUUAGUAUUCAUGCACAUCCUCAUCAUUUAGUGAUGACAGUAAAUCAAAGCUGAAAACAUGUCUGUUUACAGAGAAAUUAACAUAUUUCAUAUACUGUAUGCAAAUACUAUGCAACUUUUGUUAUUUCUUCUGAAGGCAGUAUGCUCAUUCUUCUGAUACAUUUAAUUACUUCUGUAUCCAAGUUUGACUUGCUGAUGAGAUGUAUUUGUUGUUUUCACUACUGUGCUUCGAGUCUUAUUCCUGUUCAUGAACUUGGCAUACUGAUUCCAAGGUGCAUCAUCUUUAAAAACUCUGUCAUUUUAAGUGUAGUAAGUUAAUACAAAGGGAAAAUAAUAUUACUGGAAGUUGAACAGGUGACAAAAGUUAACAUUUAAACAGAAAUAUUUGCUCUAUUUUUCAUUGAAUCCUAGUUAAAUUAUUGUAAGUUCUUUGUUUUGUGCUUUUUAAUUAAUUUGUCUUCUCCUCAUGCAAGAAGAAAAUGUUCUUUCAUCAGGCAUUUAAUUGAAAACCGACUGUGUAGGACUGAACACUGAAAUAUACUGCUGCAAACUCCAGAACAUCAGCCAGCUCGGUAACAUGCCUCCUCUCCAGGAAAUCCUCUGCAGCCCCUUAGAUACACCUGUGAAAAGGCUUUAUGGCACAUGAGGAAGGUACAGAAAAAAAUAAAAUUAAAUUAACAUAUAUUUAAUAUCUAGUCCUCAGUCUUGUAAUAUGUUACUAAAUAAUAAGUAAAUAGAUUUGCAAUAGACAUAAAAUUCACGAUUCCGUUAGGAGUGUUUGUUUGUAGUUGUAGCACAUGCUAUAGAUCUCAGAAACUGGAGAAUGUCUUGAUUAGAUCUGAAACACUAUAUUGCCUGCCUUUGGAUAAAUUUUUCAUGACUUAUUCAGGAGGGGGUUCAUUUUAUUGUCAGUCAGGCUGGGAUUUGUUCUUUUAUGUUGAACUUCCUGAAGGAGGAUUCAUAGUUGGCAAAUGCACAGCAACUAGUAAAGGUGCUCUUCAGAAACUCAUAUUUGAGCACUAUGUGGUAAUGUUUAUGCACAUGUGAAGAAUAAAUUAUCCCUUAUUAGAAUAAUCUGAUGUCCAUCAGUUUUAAAAAUUGCCUCAACCAGGGCUGAUGCUGCUGUUUUUUCAAAAGCUAUCUUCUUUGUUCUAAACUUAUUCAUUGAUUUAUAAAGCAUAAGACUGCAACAUGACAUCAGAAUAAAACUCUGCAAGUGGCAGUGUGCUCUUGCACUCCAACAAUGAAAGAACCAAGUGAAUCUGAACUGAUUUUUCAUAUACUUGAUAGUAAUAAAAUCAGUAACAGAAAGAUGUUAGCUGUGUGACUUUCUCAGUCUUCAUGUCUUUAAAAAAAUAUAUAAGAAGUUGACAAAGGAGUUAAAAAUUUUCAGGAUCAAAACUCAGAUUCAUUCCUUGCUUUAUCUUUUUCUCAGUGAUCUGCUUGCACGAGAUACUUUCAUUCAUUGGAACAAACCAGCAAGAAAAUAACAGCCUUUUUUUUUUCCUGUUGUGUUCAUCUUGAUUUAAGCACAUGGAGAUUCUAGGUCAAGAAAUAAUAUGAUUGCAAUAUAAAAAUACCUGUACAAAUGAUA